rnacentral:rRNA from 1 species
GUCUAUGGCCAUACUACCUUGAACGCACCUGAUCUUGUCUGGUCUUGGAAGCUAAGCAGAGUGUGGCUUGGUUAGUACUUGGAUGAGAGAAAUACUCAAUUCUUCCUUAAAUAUUUAUGGCCUGCUAUAAAAU